CCAUUUGUCGCAGCUUCCGGGAGCCAAGACUUCAGUGUUUUCGUUUUUAGUGUGUAAGGUUUAACGUCACAAGGCGGCGUUGCUUUAUGUUUUUGUAGCCUCUGGCAAGUCAGUAAUAAUGCUACGUGAAACGGAAUGAACAAAACGACACGGACGACGUUUUUCUAUCUGUACUCUUUGUCAGUCUUCAAAGUGAAGGUUAAAGGGACGUGAAAGAAGGUGACCAAAACUGAGCGAUUACGCUGUAAAUUGCUUAGAACUUAAAUAUCGAUGUAUCUGCAUUGUGUCAACAGGAGAGAAACGUACACGAUUCGAAAAUAUGCUCGUUUCGGCUUAUGCUGUGAAUGAUCAAACAACCUUCUAUCAUCAAACAUAUCUGUUUGCGCAAAUCAGUGCUGCAUCCACUCUAUGAAUUGUGCAAACUUAAGGUAUAGACUACAUUCCUGUUUGUUGAAGAGAGCACAGGGGCUGUCUAAAAGCGCAUCUGGCAAUGCAGCAUUUCAGUGAGCUAUACUUGCCAUGCAAGUUUACGUAACUACUCUAUAGCUAUACAGCGUUAUUAAUUUAAUCUGCCUCAAUAUAACAUUUAUGCAUACCAAUAUAUCAUAAGAAGGUAAUUUAUUUCGGUUUCGUGAGUGUUAUUGUUGAGGCUAAAUUUCCAUUUCAGAUAUGUAAAACUAAUGUGAGCACGUAGUCUUGGUAUUUCCAUUUUGGUCGUUUCACUGAUUAUUUCUUGUGAACGUCGCUUAAUUUCAGACUCGUGUUCCAGUAUACAUGGGUCACAUGCCGAUGGGCACAACCGUGCAAAACCUUCUUCAUUUCCACCAGCUUUACAAAGCCAGGAACUUCGUCAUGUACGACCAUGGUCCCUCCGAGAAUAUUCGUCGAUAUGGACAGAGAACUGCCCCACCGUACCCAUUGGAGCGCAUACGUUUACCGGUGGCCUUGUUUUGGUCACACGGGGAUACCUUGGCUGGAGCAACCGACGUGUCGACAAUGGCUGCCGCUCUUGGUUCGAACGUCAUAUUAAACUACGCGGUUCCUGUUCGGACCUUCCGCCACCUAGAUUUCGCCACUGGAUACAGGGCUAAUGAUAUCUUGCAUAAUGUUGCCCUAGAACUCAUUCGAAAGCGCAUUGGCCGAAACCCUUAAUGUCAAAGGAAUGUAACUUAAAUAUAUAAAAACUUUAACGUGUUCUUUGAACGCACGGGGCAAAUGUACAUAGGGAACAUACUUGAUAGAGUAUAUGAUUUGUAUAAUUGGGAUACUGAAACGUGUUCCUAGAACAACUUCACUGAGCUGCCAUUGAGUUUCCGUUCUGGUAAAUGUUUAUUACGAAUCGCUUUGUCAAAAUUACAUGAUUAACAGUAGUCGAGCAAGGAAUGUCACUGCAUCCAACCGCUUCGACGAGGGGUGUUUGCGUUCGUUUGGGCAGCAACGGCUUCUGGCAUUCUUCGUUCUUCAGUUUAGCGUAGCUGCGUAGGAAGGAGUGAAAGGCAUCGUGUCAUAAAGAUCAGCCCUAUUUUGUACACCAUCACAGCCAGAACUGCGAGCAUGACUGCUUUAAGCAGUCAUGCUAUCUAUUAAAGUGAGUAGUCAUCUGUUUUAUUUCUGUGAAGGAACGAUGGUGAUACAAUGAGACAAACGUAUAUAUUACGAGCAGAACUGCAACCAAAGCAUAAAAAAAUGUUGCUUUCUAGGCCAUUUCGUCUUCCUUCAAGUCUGUUAUAUCUGUAACGCACUGUCAUUAUUAUCGGCAACAGAAUGCACUGUUUUCACUGAUAUUGUUGCAUGAAAGAUUGCACGGUAGCGAAACUAUGCCACAGUGCAGAGGCUAGCAAUUAGGUGCAAGGGCGCUUUGUGGUUUUCCGUUCGGUGGCCGCUGAUUUCAUUGCCGAGUCACGUAACCGCAAGAUCGGUGGCAGAAGCACCGCCUCGGUGCGUCUUUGAAGUGGAAACACAUGGAGGGUGGUAUAGCUUGACCUUGGACCUAUGGAACAUACUGUGCCGAAGUA
rnacentral:lncRNA from 1 species